AUCCUCAUGUGAGCAACCGUGAUCUGAUUCUGUGCCGCUCCCAGCGUGAGCCCGAACAGCAGGACGCGGGGAGAGAAGUCGAUUACCUUCCUGAAAAGAGGUCGUUUCAGUAUGAAGACGAGGACAUGGAAGAGCUGGAAGAGGUCUGGACCAUCUCAUUUGUCAGAGUGAUUUAUUCCCUCUGCAACAACGCCGUUUGAUUCAUUCAGUCUGAACUACCUUGGAUCAGUGAAAUCUGCUGAUGCCUGCGGCGUGCACGCUCACAACACCCCAUGUGAAGAACAAGAGACUUUGUUUAACCAGAUCUCUGAAGGGGAUUUGAAUUUGCUCUGGUGCAGGAUUAAACAUUUGAAAUGAUUUUUUUUAGGUCCAAAUGCUGCUUCCUUUAUGUAACGUUGUACUACAAAAUCCAAUCCAUUAUAGUUAAUGUACUCUUUGCACAUUACAAAGUAGAAAAACAUAUUUUGAGGUUAUGCAAAAGUUUCCUGAAUACAUUUUUAAAAAAAGUAAAAAGAAUUUAAAAGAAAAAUCUGGAUUUGCAUUGAAAUAAAUGGCUGUCAGAAUCA